UACGAAGGGGGCUAGCGUUGCUCGGAAUCACUGGGCGUAAAGGGUGCGUAGGCGGGUCUUUAAGUCAGGGGUGAAAUCCUGGAGCUCAACUCCAGAACUGCCUUUGAUACUGAGGAUCUUGAGUUCGGGAGAGGUGAGUGGAACUGCGAGUGUAGAGGUGAAAUUCGUAGAUAUUCGCAAGAACACCAGUGGCGAAGGCGGCGCACUGGACCACAACUGACGCUGAGGCGCGAAAGCUAGGGGAGCAAACAGG
rnacentral:rRNA from 1 species